AGGGAAUCUUCGGCAAUGGGGGCAACCCUGACCGAGCAACGCCGCGUGAGUGAAGAAGGUUUUCGGAUCGUAAAGCUCUGUUGUAAGUCAAGAACGGGUGUGAGAGUGGAAAGUUCACACUGUGACGGUAGCUUACCAGAAAGGGACGGCUAACUACGUGCCAGCAGCCGCGGUAAUACGUAGGUCCCGAGCGUUGUCCGGAUUUAUUGGGCGUAAAGCGAGCGCAGGCGGUUUGAUAAGUCUGAAGUUAAAGGCUGUGGCUCAACCAUAGUUCGCUUUGGAAACUGUCAAACUUGAGUGCAGAAGGGGAGAGUGGAAUUCCAUGUGUAGCGGUGAAAUGCGUAGAUAUAUGGAGGAACACCGGUGGCGAAAGCGGCUCUCUGGUCUGUAACUGACGCUGAGGCUCGAAAGCGUGGGGAGCGAACAGGAUUAGAUACCCUGGUAGUCCACGCCGUAAACGAUGAGUGCUAGAUGUUGGAUCCUUUCCGGGAUUCAGUGCCGAAGCUAACGCAUUAAGCACUCCGCCUGGGGAGUACGACCGCAAGGUUG
rnacentral:rRNA from 1 species